AACGAACGCUGGCGGCAUGCCUAACACAUGCAAGUCGAACGAGAUCUUCGGGUCUAGUGGCGCACGGGUGCGUAACGCGUGGGAAUCUGCCCUUUGGUUCGGAACAACAGUUGGAAACGACUGCUAAUACCGGAUGAUGACGAAAGUCCAAAGAUUUAUCGCCAGAGGAUGAGCCCGCGUAGGAUUAGCUAGUUGGUGUGGUAAAGGCGCACCAAGGCGACGAUCCUUAGCUGGUCUGAGAGGAUGAUCAGCCACCCUGGGACUGAGACACGGCCCAGACUCCUACGGGAGGCAGCAGUGGGGAAUAUUGGACAAUGGGCGAAAGCCUGAUCCAGCAAUGCCGCGUGAGUGAUGAAGGCCUUAGGGUUGUAAAGCUCUUUUACCCGGGAUGAUAAUGACAGUACCGGGAGAAUAAGCUCCGGCUAACUCCGUGCCAGCAGCCGCGGUAA
rnacentral:rRNA from 1 species